CCCUUAGAUGUCCUGGGCUGCACGCGCGCUACACUGAUGUGACCAGUAAGCACCUAACCUCUUCCGAAAGGAACGGGUAACCUUUGCAAAGCACAUCGUGAUGGGGAUAGAUUAUUGCAAUUAUUAGUCUUGAACGAGGAAUUCCUAGUAAGCACAAGUCAUCAGCUUGCGUUGAUUACGUCCCCGCCCUUUGUACACACCGCCCGUCGCUCCUACCGAUUGAAUGUUCCGGUGAGCUCUUCGGACUGCGCGGUCUGCAGUUUCUGCGUUCCGUGCGGAAAGUUGCGCAAACCUUAACAUUUAGAGGAAGGAGAAGUCGUAACA
rnacentral:rRNA from 1 species